AAGCCUCUUUGUGAUCUCUCCCAUUUUUUUUUCUUUGAUAACCGUAGUGUCUAGGCCAGUUUGUGCGCGCCUCGACUAAUUCCAUGAGAUACUUACCACCUCGCACUAGCAACAGGUACCAGGUAACUCUAUCCACCAAGGCUAGGACAGAUGGAAAGAAAUCACAGAGUGUUUAUUGUCUCAGUUUGGAUUUGAAAUUGAAACCUCAUGGUUCUUAACCCACCUCAUUGACCACUAGGCCACAGCUUGGUUGCUUCUCCAAUAUUUAGAUAUCAUGUCUAAUUAUUGGAUUGUCUUCCCAUGUAUCAAAUUAGAACUUCAGCCUAUACAACUGAAGAUCCAGACACAGAACAGACAAUAAAGAUGGCAAUCAUGCACCUGCUUGUAAAUUUCAAAGAAAUAUAGCAGGCAUAAUUCUUUUUGGUGCAGAAGUUUCUUGUGGCCAAAAGUAACAUGUACCAAUAUGAGUUUAUGCUUCAAAUUGGAGAUAUGCACAACUUUAUGCCCUUUAUGGUGUUUCAAGUUGUUCAGGCGUGUUUACCACAAUGUUUUUCUACUUAAU